rnacentral:snoRNA from 1 species
CCCCUCUCAGAAUUGCAUCUGGAGAGUUUCCAGGAUUCUACCAGUCUUGGCUACGGGGGGAGAGCCAAGCAGAGGCCUAUCUAUUCCUUUCCUAGCUUGGCCAGUGGCUAGCGAGUGGAAGGCAAUCUGCUACAAGU